rnacentral:lncRNA from 1 species
UCUGUGUGGAUGAGUGUCCAAGAGUGUGAGUGUGACCUUGUGUGUGUUUGUGCGUGUGUGUCUGUGUGCGUGUGCGUGUGAGUCUGAGUGUGUGCAUGUGUGUGCGUGUGAGUGUGCUUGUGCAUGUGAAUCUGAGUGUGUGUGACUAUGUGUGUGUGCAUGUGCUUGUGUGUGUCUGUGUGUACAUUGUGUGUGCAUGAGUGAGUUUGUGCGUUUGUGUGUGCAUGUGCUUGUGUGUGUAUUUGUGUUUGAGUGUGACUGUGCGUGUGCUUGUGCAUGUGUGUCUGAGUGUGAGUGUAACUUUGUGUGUGUGAGUGUGCUUGUGUGUGUCUGAGUGUAUGUGCAUGUGUGUUUGUGUACAUUGCUUGUGCAUGUGAAUCGAGUGUGUGACUAUGUGUGUGUGCAUGUGCUUGUGUGUGUCAGUGUGAGUCGAGUGUGUGUGUAUGUUGUGUGUGCAUGUGUGUGAGUUCGUGUGAGUAUGCCUGUAUGUCUGAGUGUGUGUGUAUGUUGUAUGUGCAUGGGUGUGUUUGUGUGUGAGUGUGCCUGUGUGUCUGAGUGUGUGUGUACGUUGUGUGUGCAUAUGUGUGAGUUCGUGUGUGAGUGUGUCCCUCCACCCUGCAGUGGGUGGGGGGCUGCGGGUGGGCUGGCGGGGACCAGCUGAGCUCUGCCUUCCUUCCACCCACCCUCCCAUCUCGUCCCCGCGUGGGGCCGGCCUUGGGGUCAGCGUAGGUGACGGGCGUCCCUGGGCCAAAGGCGGGGGCAGGGACUGGGGAGGACGGGGGCGGGGACGCCGGCCGGGGCGCCUGGCUCAGUCUCUGGUGCUCGACGGCCCCCACCCCCGGCAUCUCCCCACAUCGGGCCCACAUCUCGGGGCUGCCCGGGGCCUUCGUGUCCCUUCUCUUCCGGUCAAAAGGCCCCCAGCAGUGGGUGAGAACCAGAAGGGGUUUUCCUGCGGUCCGUACAGCUCAGACCUCCAGAGCUGCCACGGAGGACGAGAAGGAGCCCCCGACUCGUGGCUGCGACACGGGGGGAGCCUCAGGACAGAGGACACGUCUCCAAGAGAGAACUCGGCGCACGGCCCAAGGAGAGUGGAAGAUAACGUGAGAGUCGCCCGUUCCGCCAGGACUGCAAAGGCCCAUCCUGUGUCCAGCCGAGGCCUCCGGGCAGACGGCGAGAGGGACCCACAGCGGGC